rnacentral:rRNA from 1 species
AUUGAACGCUGGCGGCAUGCUUUACACAUGCAAGUCGAACGGAAACAUGGAGAGCUUGCUCUCUGAUGUCGAGUGGCGAACGGGUGAGUAAUACAUCGGAACAUGUCCUUUUGUGGGGGAUAACUACUCGAAAGAGUAGCUAAUACCGCAUAAGACCUGAGGGUGAAAGCGGGGGAUCUUCGGACCUCGCGCAGAUGGAGUGGCCGAUGACUGAUUAGCUAGUUGGUGGGGUAAAGGCCUACCAAGGCGAUGAUCAGUAGCUGGUCUGAGAGGACGACCAGCCACACUGGGACUGAGACACGGCCCAGACUCCUACGGGAGGCAGCAGUGGGGAAUUUUGGACAAUGGGCGAAAGCCUGAUCCAGCAAUGCCGCGUGCAGGAAGAAGGCCUUCGGGUUGUAAACUGCUUUUGUACGGAGCGAAAAGGUCCUUUCUAAUACAAGGGGCUCAUAACGGUACCGUAAGAAUAAGCACCGGCUAACUACGUGCCAGCCGCCGCCGUAACAC